AAAAAAUUUAGAUUUCACCCUUGAGUGACAGCCCAUAGAAGAGACUGGAUUCCCUCUCUUCUCUUUGCUGGAAAUAACAUUUAACUCAAGUAUGAUCCCUAUUCAUGAAUUUCACUCAUGAACCUUACAUGCUUGGAUUGGCUGACACUUUCAUCUUGGACCAACUUUGACCUUGGAACAACUUUAGAUGACUCUUUUGCAAGCUCCUCUUUGAAAAACAGACUUGGCAGGCAAGUCCUGGCUUUGUUCCACAUUUUUUGGGAAAUAUUAUUAGAAGAAAAUUCUGGUUCAAAUCCUGAUUGGAUCUUCCACAGAGCACACAGCACAAAUUGCUUGAGGCAAAGACGAUGUUUAUUUGACAUGGUUACAUUUAUAAAGCAGCUUUUCUAUUGUCCCCAGAAAUGUUUGAGGAUUAUGUUGGAAUUUAAUUUCAUUAGUCUUAUACUGUUCAUAUGUUUAUUUGCUUCAGUUUUACAUAAGCUUAAUUUUCACAUUGACGCAAAGAAAAAAUACAAAAGCACAAUAACUACAACAAAAAAAUUAAAUGUUAUGAGUCUAAUUAACAAUUUCAGUCAUUUCCCUACUUUUAUCAUUAGAUGUUCCUUAGUGUUUAGAUCUGGCCUUAGGGUAAUAAUGUAGCACUUUGGGAAGAAGAUGCAGCCCAGCAAACCAGCACUGGAGGUCAAGAUGGAGAAGACCUGCACAAUCACCAUGGACUUUCCUUUGGUGCUCAGGUAAGUUGGCAGGAAGGACACCCAGACACUGCAGAAGACCAGCAUGCUGAAGGUGAUCAGCUUGGCUUCGUUGAAGGCUCCAGGCAGGUUCCUGGCCAUGAAAGCUACAGUGAAGCAAAUGGCAGCUAGGAAACACAUGUAGCCAAGGACAACAUAAAACAUGGUGACAGAGCCUUCAUUGCAUUGCAGGAUGAUCACUCCAAGCUGGGAGUUUAAGUCAGAGUCAGGGAAUGGGGGAGAAAUUCCCAGCCAUAAGACACAGAUGAAAAUUUGGCCAGCAGAACAAGAAAGGAUGAUGGAGUUGGCCAAGCUCUUCCGCAACCAUCUUCUCACACUGUUCCCUGGUUUUGAGGCUAGGAAAGCCAGUACCACUGUGAUCGUUUUGGCCAACACAGAAGACACGGCUAUUGAGAAGACAAUGCUGAACACUGUUUGUCGGAGAAGACAGGUGGCUUUCCUUGGCUGUCCAAUGAAGAGAAAUGAGGACAAAAAGCAAAGCAGAAGGGAGACCAGGAGGAUGAAGGAGAGGUCCCGGUUGUUGGCUUUGACAAUGGGAGUUUCUAGAUGACCUCUCCCACUUCUUUAUGGCAAGUUGGGAGAGGAACAUGAGCCAGUCCUGGAGUCUGAGGAAGGCUCUGAUGAGUGCUCUGAAUCAGAGGCAGAGAUGGAGUCAGGGCCGUCUGACAGUUGUCAGCUGCCUUUGGAGUCAGACAUCAGUGUGGCUGAAGAACAGCCGGAGCCUGUUCCCAGUAUGAGCAUGCACAGAGUUGCCAGGAGAAGGGAACAGCUAAGGAACAAGGGUCGACUCAGGAGUAAAGCCACAGAUGGAUGGUGAAUGGCUUCUCCCAUAGGGAAUAAAGAGGAGCAAAAGGGGAGGGGAGUUUGCAGGAGACAAUUAGUUCAAUUCAUUAGAGUGGAGAUCUGUUCCUGACUUCUUGCCAAGUAUUCUCUGCUAGAGAGUGACAUUUGGAAAAUAUCGGCCUCGAAGCUCUCCAAGCCUGAUAAAGAUCUGAAGUUGUGAAAUCUCUUAAAAGACUAUUGGCUGGGAUUUUGCUGGAGAGGAAUUCACUUUAAACUAAAUAAAAGGGAUAAGGAGUUUGCUUCGUGCUUUUGGGAAGCCUAGGUCAGAACAGUAUUUCUCUCAUCCCUUGAACCCAAACACUCUCCCUCCAUGAUUCCCUAAAUUAGACCUUUCUGCUUAGGGGGUUCUGUGAUCUUAAUAAAGAUUGACUGAUUAAUGAA